CAGAAGUCAGGUCGGAAUUAAGCCA
rnacentral:lncRNA from 1 species